rnacentral:rRNA from 1 species
GACGAACGCUGGCGGCGUGCCUAAUACAUGCAAGUAGAACGCUGAAGAGAGGAGCUUGCUCUUCCUGGAUGAGUUGCGAACGGGUGAGUAACGCGUAGGUAACCUGCCUUGUAGCGGGGGAUAACUAUUGGAAACGAUAGCUAAUACCGCAUAACAAUGGAUGACACAUGUCAUUUAUUUGAAAGGGGCAAUUGCUCCACUACAAGAUGGACCUGCGUUGUAUUAGCUAGUAGGUGAGGUAAUGGCUCACCUAGGCGACGAUACAUAGCCGACCUGGGAGGGUGGUCGGCCCCACUGGGACUGAGACACGGCCCAGACUCCUACGGGAGGCAGCAGUAGGGAAUCUUCGGCAAUGGGGGCAACCCUGACCGAGCAACGCCGCGUGAGUGAAGAAGGGUUUCGGAUCGUAAAGCUCUGUUGUAAGUCAAGAACGGGUGUGAGAGUGGAAAGUUCACACUGUGACGGUAGCUUACCAGAAAGGGACGGCUAACUACGUG